CUGCAUUCAAGUAUGAACGGGCCCGGAAUCAAGAUCGCACCGCCCUGUCCUUCGUGCCUGUGUCGUUGUGCACUUGAGUGACAACAAUUUUGAAUCCGCUUCUUUCUUCCUGUGCUUCGGUCUCAUCAUUCGGUUGAAAUUGAUCGUGGAAUCUAGUUUAUGUAAUAAGUAUUGAUUUUCAAUCGGAGUCCCGUUCACGGACAAUAGUCAGUCCUCAACCAGGCGUUCUCCUUUCCAGUUCGAUUUCCCGGUGCACCGACAGUGGAAUUCGUGGACGGUCCAUUCCAGUGUAGGGAAAACUCUGGCGUAUUAGUGCAUCAUCAGAACGUUAGCGGAAGUGGUAGAUCAGUUCCGGAAGAAAAAUUAUCUUUUCCAUCCUACUGUCAGUAUCGAUCGUACUUUCCACUGGAAAACAUCUCACAAGCCCCCUAGGGAAGCAACAGUUCCAAAUAAGAUCCAGCCCAGCAGUUCAAGAUGUCUGAAACCAAGAACCUCAUGACUACGUUUAUAAUUCUGAUCUUCCUGCUACUGCUGCUAUACGUCGUAAUUGAAAUUUUCUACUAGAAGGAUACAUUCUGCAGCAUUAGUUAGGGAGGAUGAAUGAGUGGUUAAAGUGUUUUUAUUUUGUGCGUGAUAAGGACUACGAGCGAGUGAGGAGGAUCGGUGGACCUAAUGGAUAAGCAAUGCACAACCUACAUUUAACCAAUUUUAAGAUGCACGUAGAUAGUAGGAUUCCAGCUUGAGCCCAAUGUACCGCCCAAUGCACCUGCACACUGCAAACACACUGCACCCAAGAAUGCGCACCUGAUUGACAAUGUUGCACCAUCCCCGCCAGCCAUUCGUGGACGUCAUCAGCAUGAGAUCACCAGACCGACUUCGUACGGGAUGCUGCUUGCUAAUCGUUCCAAGCUCAUCUAGACCACCUGCCGAUGUUGCCGUGUUUACCCCUGCUGUUCUACACGUGAAAAUAUCGCUGCUUGAUCCGAGCGGUCAUUGGAUUGCCAGCGGCACCGAUUUGCGGCUUGCUGCGUCUAUCUAAGCAGACAGCAGUUCUGGAUACGGUACAAAUUUAUUAUUCCGCUGACACGACGCUACAAAUCAGUCCGACAGCCAUGAAUAACCGGCGUAACAGUAUGAAAAAGGACGACAGGCAUUCUAAGGAAAAGCUUGACCGUAAGAUAAUCCGUCAUCCGACGGCCCCCUUCUCGACGAAAUCGAUUAUCAUGAACCUGAUAAUAGCAUUUUUCCUGUAUCUCUUGCGACGGGUCAUAGAAGCUGGCGGGAAAAGUGCGAUCACAAAGUACAGCCGAUUUAUCAAAUGAUGCGCUACUUGGGAGGGUUUCAGUGGUAGGUUUUGGAUCAAUUCAUAUUUUCAUCUGUGCUAAUGUCUUCCCCGCUAUUAUUGACAAAUAUUAUAAUAAUAUUAUAAGAUAUAAAUGUUGAAA